rnacentral:piRNA from 1 species
UAAAGUUCAGCAACUGUAUUUUCAUGGGA